AUGGCCUCGCAUGUGCAAGUUUUCUCUCCUCACACCCUUCAGUCAAGUGCCUUCUGUAGCGUGAAGAAACUGAAAGUGGAGCCGAGUUCGAACUGGGAUAUGACUGGGUACGGCACACACAGCAAAGUCUACAGCCAGAGCAAGAACGUGCAGUCCUCCCAAGCAGCCGCCGCAGCAGCCGUCAACGCCUCCCUCCAGAUCCCCAAUCCGAGCAUCCCUUACGAACAGACCAUCAUCUUCCCAGCAAGCACGGGGCACAUCGUGGUGACAUCCGCCAACAGCACUUCUGGUGUGGUUGCAGUGUCUGGGCAAACACUGGGCGGGCCACACAACCUGAUGCGUCGCAGCACUGUGAGCCUUCUGGACACCUACCAAAAAUGUGGACUUAAGCGCAAGAGUGAGGAGAUUGAGAACACAAGCAGCGUGCAGAUCAUUGAAGAGCAUCCACCAAUGAUUCAGAACAAUGCCAGUGGGGCCACUGUAGCCACCGCCACCACCUCCACGGCCACCUCCAAAAACAGUGGCUCCAACAGCGAAGGGGAUUACCAGCUGGUGCAACAUGAGGUGCUCUGUUCCAUGACCAACACGUAUGAAGUGUUAGAGUUUCUUGGCCGUGGAACCUUCGGACAAGUAGUCAAAUGCUGGAAACGUGGCACUAAUGAGAUUGUGGCCAUCAAGAUCCUAAAGAACCAUCCUUCCUAUGCCCGGCAAGGUCAGAUUGAAGUGAGCAUCCUGGCUCGACUGAGCACAGAAAGUGCGGAUGACUACAACUUCGUCCGUGCGUAUGAGUGCUUCCAGCACAAGAAUCAUACAUGUUUGGUCUUUGAAAUGUUGGAGCAGAACCUCUAUGAUUUCCUAAAACAAAACAAAUUCAGUCCCUUGCCCCUUAAGUACAUUCGACCAAUUCUCCAGCAGGUAGCAACUGCCCUAAUGAAGCUGAAAAGCCUGGGACUGAUUCAUGCUGAUCUCAAACCAGAGAACAUCAUGUUGGUAGACCCAUCCCGACAGCCAUAUAGGGUCAAGGUCAUAGACUUUGGUUCAGCUAGCCAUGUGUCUAAAGCUGUGUGUUCUACCUACCUUCAAUCCAGAUAUUACAGGUAA